GAUGAACGCUGGCGGCGUGCCUAAUACAUGCAAGUCGAGCGAACGGACGAGAAGCUUGCUUCUCUGAUGUUAGCGGCGGACGGGUGAGUAACACGUGGAUAACCUACCUAUAAGACUGGGAUAACUUCGGGAAACCGUAGCUAAUACCGGAUAAUAUUUUGAACCGCAUGGUUCAAAAGUGAAAGACGGUCUUGCUGUCACUUAUAGAUGGAUCCGCGCUGCAUUAGCUAGUUGGUAAGGUAACGGCUUACCAAGGCAACGAUGCAUAGCCGACCUGAGAGGGUGAUCGGCCACACUGGAACUGAGACACGGUCAAGACGCCUAAGGGAGGCAGCAGUAGGGAAUCUUCCGCAAUGGGCGAAAGCCUGACGGAGCAACGCCGCGUGAGUGAUGAAGGUCUUCGGAUCGUAAAACUCUGUUAUUAGGGAAGAACAUAUGUGUAAGUAACUGUGCACAGCUUGACGGUACCUAAUCAGAAAGCCACGGCUAACUACGUG
rnacentral:rRNA from 1 species